UGCAGUAACUUUGGUUGUGUGUUUUUACAUUUACUUCAGACUUCAGAGACAAGUAAAUGAGAAUAAGUGUCACCUGGAUUUGUACGUGUAAUUAGUGCCUCAGGAUUUACCAAGUGAAAUAUAGCAACCUCCUGGCUAACCUACGCCCAGCAGUGGUAAAGAUGGUUAGGCCCACAGUGCCUGUGUUUGAAAUGUAGGCUAAGCAACAUCAUCCUUCAAGAGAUCUUGGCUACAACUCUGCUAAAAAUAUGCAACACCUUAAGUCUAUAGUGUAUAUACCAUCCAGAAAGCUGGUUCAGUUCUUGAAGAUUGGUUAAUAGUUAGAUAACCAUUGGAAGGUGGGUGAAUGUGAAGGUACUGCCUCAUUACCUGCCUUGUCAAACCAAGAGCAAAUGAGAAUACAUGCAGGAAUAGUUAGAGGUAAUGGGGAAUAAGAAUGAGCCUUCAUACUCUGCCUUGACCUUCAUGCUUUGCCUUCACCUCCUGAAGAUUUAGGAAGAUGACCCCUGAAGCAAGAGCGGAGGUGUGUGAUUAUGGAGUUCCAAAAAGAAAGUGGUUCCUCCACCUUCCAAAACUCCAAACUAUAGUUUUCCUAGGGGUCAACAACCACUGUAGACCAAUCCAAGAUGGAUUGUUUAAAAUGCUGCUGGAGGAGAAAAGACAGGAAGCUAUUGCAGGAUAAGAUUCCUCCUCAAAAGAAGGAAAGCACAAAGGUAGUUCAGCACCUAAAGAGGAUAAGAAGUCCAAUAUCAUCAACCCCAUCCUUCAAGUGUGAAGGAACAUGUCAAAAAGCAGCAAAAUGGAAGGUAGAGAAUUUGCGUCAUCAUUUCAGUCUGGUUCAUUUAAAUCCUUCUUCAUUGAUAAUAUGUUCUGUUAGUAAACAGCAAGAGAAUUUUUUUAGCUUCAAUGGCUACAGAAGCUUCAGUGGCCUUGAUUGGGGAAGUUCUUGCGAGAUCAAUGUUAACAUAAAUCACAGAUAAAGAACAAUUAUAAGGAUAUUACAAUACUCAGAUUCUGAGAAUGUUGAUUCAAGUAAUGUCCACAGAUUUUCUUAUGAGAUUUGUAGGUAAGUCAUAUGAUAGGUUUGUUUAAUUACUCUUCAAUUUACCAUAAAACUAUAAUUAUCUGACCGUAUUUUUGAUGCUGUUCAAGAAAAUAAUUAGAAUUCAGAUAUAACUGUUCCCAGUAGUUAUCCAUGGUCUUCUCCAGUUGUGCAUGGCAGGAAACCACAUGGGAACUGUAAACACUAUAAUCUAUAUGUAAAAUGUAUUUGUCAUUGUAUAAUGUAUCCUCACCUCCUAUGUAUAUGUAUAUAACACUGUAUAUUGAUAAGCAGCAAUUGUAUCCAAUGCCUAUU